rnacentral:rRNA from 1 species
UACGUAGGUGGCAAGCGUUGUCCGGAUUUACUGGGCGUAAAGAGCGCGCAGGCGGUCGAAUAAGUCGAAUGUGAAAGCCCCCGGCUCAACUGGGGAGGGUCAUUCGAUACUGCUCGACUUGAAGGCAGGAGAGGGUAGUGGAAUUCCGGGUGUAGCGGUGGAAUGCGUAGAGAUCCGGAAGAACACCGGUGGCGAAGGCGGUCUGCUGGGCAGUUGCUGACACUGAGGCGCGAAAGCGUGGGGAGCAAACAGG